ACGGGUGAGUAAUGUCUGGGAAACUGCCUGAUGGAGGGGGGAUAACUACUGGAAACGGUAGCUAAUACCGCAUAACGUCGCAAGACCAAAGAGGGGGACCUUCGGGCCUCUUGCCAUCGGAUGUGCCCAGAUGGGAUUAGCUAGUAGGUGGGGUAACGGCUCACCUAGGCGACGAUCCCUAGCUGGUCUGAGAGGAUGACCAGCCACACUGGAACUGAGACACGGUCCAGACUCCUACGGGAGGCAGCAUG
rnacentral:rRNA from 1 species